UUUCCGGUUGAUCCUGCCGGACCUGACUGCUAUCGGAUUGAUACUAAGCCAUGCGAGUCAUUGUAGCAAUACAAGGCAGACGGCUCAGUAACGCGUAGUCAACCUAACCUAUGGACGGGAAUAACCUCGGGAAACUGAGAAUAAUGCCCGAUAGAACAUUAUGCCUGGAAUGGUUUAUGUUCCAAAUGAUUUAUCGCCGUAGGAUGGGACUGCGGCCUAUCAGUUUGUUGGUGAGGUAAUGGCCCACCAAGACUAUUACAGGUACGGGCUCUGAGAGGAGUAGCCCGGAGAUGGGUACUGAGACACGGACCCAGGCCCUAUGGGGCGCAGCAGGCGAGAAAACUUUGCAAUGUGCGAAAGCACGACAAGGUUAAUCCGAGUGGUUUCUGCUAAAGGAACCUUUUGUCGGUCCUAGAAACACCGAUGAAUAAGGGGUGGGCAAGUUCUGGUGUCAGCCGCCGCGGUAAAACCAGCACCUCAAGUGGUCAGGAUGAUUAUUGGGCCUAAAGCAUCCGUAGCCUGCUUUGUUAGUUUUCGGUUAAAUCUGUACGCUCAACGUACAGGCUGCCGGGAAUACUGCAAAGCUAGGGAGUGGGAGAGGUAGACGGUACUCGGUAGGAAGGGGUAAAAUCCUUUGAUCUAUUGAUGACCACCUGUGGCGAAGGCGGUCUACCAGAACACGUCCGACGGUGAGGGAUGAAAGCUGGGGGAGCAAACCGGAUUAGAUACCCGGGUAGUCCCAGCCGUAAACCAUGCAAACUCAGUGAUGCAUUGGCUUGUGGCCAAUGCAGUGCUGCAGGGAAGCCGUUAAGUUUGCCGCCUGGGAAGUACGUACGCAAGUAUGAAACUUAAAGGAAUUGGCGGGGGAGCAC
rnacentral:rRNA from 1 species